rnacentral:snoRNA from 1 species
AGGAAUCUGAUUACGAAUGAAUGUCACUAAGAGAGGUGAUGACAUAAAAAUCAUACUCAAUAACAUGACACUGAAUCCC